CGAGAGUUAGUUUAACAAAAACACUUAAUUUCGACUUAAGAAAAUUCAGUAACCACCCUGAAACCCUCUU
rnacentral:tRNA from 1 species